CUGCCGAGAGAGACCGACAGGCCAUGGGGAAUCAAUGCACACUGUAAAUGCUGACCUUGCUCUCUUCUUUCUAUAUGUAAAUAAAACACUGUUUCAUCCACUACUUGAUGCCUUGUUCUCCUUGCGAACUCCAGUACCAAGAUGCAACGGGCAAAGAUGUCUGGACUCCUGUCUCUGGUGGCUGGUGCAGUGAUGUUCCUUGCUAUCCUUCAUGGAGUUGAGGGGUCUUGCCCUGGGAUUGGGAACCAUCCGUAUGCAGUGUUCUUCUGGGUACUAUGCCUCUUAUUCUCUCAAGCUAUUAGUACAGGGACUGGAGUUCAUGUAGUCUGUAUUUUAUUUUGUCUUUUUUUGUUGCUUUUGUUAGAUUCAGUUCAGCAUUGGCUUCAAUUAUUGGAGGGCGAGAUCAUAAUCUUGCCUUCAGAAGAAGUUGAGAGGCUAAAAAAUGCAUAGCAUUGUUUCUGAAAACCACCAUUGUGAUUUGAGAAUAUCUUUGGAGAAUGCAUACAUUUUGAAUAGCCUUACUAUAAAUACAUUUUUGUUCUUUAAAUGGACUUGUGGUAUUUUAAAUAUAUCUUUAAGUCAACUUGGUUAAAUAAAACUUGUGUGACCAAAGGGUGCAAUGCUGUUAUGAUCACAGUAAGGUAGUGCGGCCACAAGGGGGAGCUACUGAUUUCUUGGAGUAUCUUAUGAUCUGUCCCAAAACAAACUUCAUAGCAAAUUUCAAGCAUUAAUUUCUUUGGACUAAGUAUACUACUCAAGGCACCAAUUGGAAAAGGGCAAUGUGUCUGAGUCAGCGAUUUGUUCUAGGCUAGCGCUUUUUAGCAUAUAGUGUGCAUACAGAUCAUCUGGAGGUCAUAUUAAAAUAUAGGUUCUAGAAAUUCCACUGUGGCUCAGCAGGUUAAGAUUCCAACUAGUAUCCAUGAGGAUGCAGGUUUGAUCCCUGGCCUUGCUUAUUGGGUUAAGGAUUCAGUGUUGCUGUGAGCUGUGGUGUAUGUAGGUCACAGAUGUGACUCAGAUCCUGCAUUGCUGUGGCUGUGGUGUAGGCCAGCAGCUGCAACUCUGAUUUGACUCCUAGCCUGGGAACUGCCAUAUGCCACACCUGCAGCCCUAAAUAAUAAUAUAAUAAUAAUAAUACUAACUAUAUACUAUAACUCAGUAGAUAUGAGAGGAAGCCUGAGAUUCGGCCUUUCUGCUCAGCUCCCAAGUGAUGCCAACCCUUGGAUCAUACCUUGAGUGGCAAUGGUUUUGUCUCCUGGUCCUAAGUUCCAAUGCCUAACUUAUGGGAGCUAGCUUCCAAUAUGGCCCUCAAUGACCUAUGCCCCCUGGAUUAAACCUUGUGUUGCCCUCUCCCAUAUCUGUGUGACCAGUUACCUGUGACAGAUCAGAUAGUAUGCCACUUUCAAGAUUAGUCACCAAAGGCACUGGGGCUUCUGUCUUGGUUUCCUAUUUUCUAUCUCAGAUCCCUCACUUUGGUGGACACGAGCUGCCCUAUCAUAAACAUCCCUCUAAGGAGGCCGACCUGGUGAGGGACUGAGGCCUAAAGCCACUGACAGUUCAGAACUGAGGAAGAUUCAAAGUGAGUCCUCCAACCCUAUUUAAGCUAUCAGAUGACUAUGACCUCAGACUUUGAGCUAGAACCACCCAAAUAAGCUGGUUCAGGAUCCUGGACCCUCAUAAAUUGUUAAAUAAUAAUAAAAGUUUAUUAUUUUAAUCAGGAGAGCAAUUUCUUAUGGAACCGAUCAAAGUUGUUUAACUUCUCUUGUUUUAAGUACGGUGGUGUCUGGAUUUUGGAAAAACUAGAUCAGAACUUUUUGCUUCGGGUACUGUAGAGGUUAAAUUAUGUCCUCCCUCAUGCCCCCGCCCCCAGAUAUGUUUAACUCCUAACCCUGGGUACCUAUGAAUAUGACCUUAUUUGAGAACAGGGGUUUACAAAUGUAAUCAUGUUAAGAUGAGAUCAUUCUGGGUUAAGUUGGGCCCUAAACCAAUGACUGAUGCCCUUAGAAGGAGAGAUACAGAGACACAGACUCCCAAGGGCGAAGGCCGUGUGAAAAGGGAGGUGGAGAAUGGAGCAGUGCAACUGCAAGCCAAGGCAUUAGGAAGAUUGCCAACAACCCCAGAAGCUAGGAGGAGGCGAGGAAGGUUCUUCCUUUUUAGAGCUUGCAGACAGAGCACAGCUCUGCUGACACCUUGGUUUUAGACUUCCAUCCUCUUGGACCGUAAGAGAACAGAUUUCAUUUGUAUUAAUCUACCCAGUUUAUGAUAAUUUUUAUGGCAGCUCUAGGAAACUAAUGUGCCCAUCAGAAUGAUCUGUGAAACAUCUAAAAAUAUACAUGCCAGGAUCCCGUUCUUACUCAUCCAGUGAAUAAGAAUCUCAAAUUCUUACUCAUACCUACGUGAAGCUCAGGUAUAUAUGCUUUGGCUUCAAAGCUAAUGGUAAUGCAUAUUCAAGCUUGUGAAUCACUGGACUAGAUGAUUUUGAAGUCCUAACUUUAAAAUUCAAUGACUUAAAGUCCUGGUGGACUGUUCUAGAAGAAAAAAAUAAUGUAUUAAUGUUCACCCACUUGAAUUAUUCAUGCAGACACAUGAAAGCCAUUGGCAAUCGUUUAUGUGGAUACGUACAUAAACCUAGGUAACUGUUUUGUGUUGAGUGGUCCACAUUAAAUUGUUUGUUUUGGAGUUAAUACCAGUUUUAAGACAACUACAUUUAAAUGUUUAAAGAUUUAUAAUUAUCCCAAACAAGAACAGCAUAUGGUUUUGCUCCAUAAGUGAUCCACAAAGAAUAACUACUUGUAUUUUGCUGCUUUUUUGAAUUGUGUGAUAAAGUGGAAAAUUGUCAGGAUCCAGCUCUUCAGUUUUUGCUGAAAUAAUUACUGAAAAAAUUGAACAGAUGCCGGAUAUAAAUAAAUUUGUAAGCGCAGAUAUUUAAAGAUCUGUGGAUUCUGGGCACCACUUGGUAGAGAUGUAGAUAUAUUUAUGAUGGCCUCAAUGAAACAGUUACUUUGUACUUUGCCAGGUUAGAGCCGUGAGGUGAAUCUCUCUCCGAAAAAAACACCAUGGCAACGUAGUGCCAGACUAUCCUAGUUUUUACCUGACAGGAGGAGGGCAAACAAUCUGAUACCUACACACCCAGAACCUCAGCAAUCUUAAAUUACUUCACAUGUAAUACUGCUCUUCUUUUUCUGUUCUCUACUGGCAGUACCCAAAGCACAGGAAGCAAAAUUUUCCACCUAAAAUUAGAGAUUCUAAAACUUGUUUCUAUGACUUAAAAAAAGAAUGGGUGAUGCUGAUAGCAUAUUACUACACAGAUUUCAAUAUACUUGGUGAGGGCUUGCUGAGAAAGGCUGCCAUUUCCACUGCAUCAUUAAAUUUACCAAAGAGGAGGAUUGGACCCAUGACAAAUACCAUUCUUGGGGAAUUAAAUUUAAACUGCUAUCACUGCCACACUCAGAAUAAUGAUGGUUAAAUAAAAUAAGUACACAUAGCAAAGUUGAAAAGUAUGACUUUCUAACAACAGACACAGCACAGGAAACUAUAGAUUGAUGAUGAUUUCUGCAUAUAUAGGCAGAAGGAGCCAGCAUGCAGCAGAAGAUAUGAUUCACAUGUGGGCUACAAUUAAGGCUAUCAAGGAGCAACAAGGGAAUGAGAUACAGGGGUAGGAAGGUAAUUAGAACUUACUCUUAACAUUCCCUAAUUGCCAGCCUUUAUCAGUAGCAGAUGGUAGGUGAGCAGGAAUUUGGGGGAAUAACCACCUUUUUGACAUUAUGUCUAAUUAAGAAGGCUUCCUCAGUUAUCAGGACAAAGUUUGAAAUCAUUGUAUUUUUCCCAGGUCAAUAUUAACUCAGACGGUGUAAUGAAGUCUGUCGCCCUUCUGUCUAUCAUUUCCUCUAGCUGUUUCCAUCUGUUCUAAGGUGAAAAGAUGAACUUUUCAAUGACUCUAGUCUAGGCUGCAUGCUCAGGGGCCUCUGAUGACUCAUGAGUGUUACUUCUCAUUGGAUAACUUCUAGAGGAGAACUGUCCUGAUUGUACCAUUGAGACAGACCUGGGAGAGUAUAAGAUGGGCUCUAAUAUUUAUAGACCACUAUUAGGUGACAGCAUGGCAAUUUGCUACAAAGUAACAGUGAAACAAAACAUUGCUACUUAGCACCAAGCUUGAAUGCAAUACUGCUGGGGAAGAAACCAUCUGAGGCCGAUACAAGACCAAUGCAGACUAGGUGAAGGUGUUUGUUUACCUCUUCACAAAUUCUAUUCUUGAAAGACCCCAGGUUAAGACAAUAAUAAGGCCCUUAAAUGUCUCUGAUAGGCAUAGCUGUCAAAUGAUUGUGAUAAAUGUCCCUUUAACAACACGAUUACUUUGACAGCUUCUCUUUUUACAGAACACUUGUCAGUUACUCUACAGCAGUGAUUCUCAAGUGUGUGGUCCUCAAACCAACAGCAUCAGCAUCACCAGGGAAGUUAUUAGUAAAUGCAGGUAAUUGAGACUUAUCCCAGAUGCACUGAAUCGGAAACUAAAGUUGGAAGCUGAAAUAGGAAUAGACACCAGUUACUGGGUGAUGUCUGUAUCCCACACUGAACACUUCUGUGAGUCAUCACAAUAACCAGGUCCAUGACUCACAUUGUGUGGACCAAGAAGCAAAGGCUUCGUCAAUGUAAAGUAAAUUUAUUGAAGUUGCAGAACGAACAAGUGGUAGAUAGAUUUCUAACCACAUUCUGACCCGUCUAAAGCCCAUACUCUGAACCACUGAAGAAUAUCCAACGAGAAACGGAAAAGACCAGGAUUUCACUAGUGCUAUGCAAAGGUACAUUCUAGAUGCUGGAGAAAAGUCAACUAUGGGCCCAAAAUAGAAAAGGCAGCAUAAGACUUUUCCAAAAAACAUGUUUCUGGGGACUAGUAAUUCACCCAAAGGUGAGAAAAAAAUGACCUCCCUUAUG
rnacentral:lncRNA from 1 species